AGCGGCAGGCCUAAUACAUGCAAGUCGAGGGGCAGCACGGUUUUCGGACUGGUGGCGACCGGCGCACGGGUGCGUAACGCGUAUGCAAUCUACCUUAUACUGGAGGAUAGCCCGAGGAAACUCGGAUUAAUACUCCAUAGUAUCACGAAAUGGCAUCGUUUUGUGAUUAAAGAUUUAUUGGUAUAAGAUGAGCAUGCGUCUGAUUAGUUAGUUGGUAAGGUAACGGCUUACCAAGACGAUGAUCAGUAGGGGUUCUGAGAGGAUGAUCCCCCACACUGGCACUGAGAUACGGGCCAGACUCCUACGGGAGGCAGCAGUAGGGAAUAUUGGUCAAUGGGCGAGAGCCUGAACCAGCCAUGCCGCGUGCAGGAUGACGGCCUUCUGGGUUGUAAACUGCUUUUAUAUGGGAAGAAAAAGGUCUUGCGAGACAAAUUGCCGGUACCAUAUGAAUAAGCACCGGCUAACUCCGUGCCAGCAGCCGCGGUAAUACGGAGGGUGCAAGCGUUGUCCGGAUUUAUUGGGUUUAAAGGGUACGUAGGCGGAUUUUUAAGUCCGUGGUGAAAGCCUACAGCUUAACUGUAGAACUGCCAUGGAUACUGGAAAUCUUGAAUUCAGUUGAGGUAAGCGGAAUUUAUGAUGUAGCGGUGAAAUGCAUAGAUAUCAUAAAGAACACCAAUUGCGAAGGCAGCUUGCUGGACUUGAAUUGACGCUGAGGUACGAAAGCGUGGGGAGCGAACAGGAUUAGAUACCCUGGUAGUCCACGCCGUAAACGAUGAUUACUC
rnacentral:rRNA from 1 species